CAACAAUGGCGCAUAUUUUAUGACCGUGAUUGCAAUCCAAAUUUGCAUUUGAGCUCAGCAGUCGAGUGUGGUGCCAAAAAUACCAGAAGCGAUGUCCUAUAUACGGCCUUGACCAGAAGUGUUGCAUGCCCUGGAUGCAGAAAAACAAGAUUGAGAUGAGUGGAUCAAGAUGUAUCUUUCGUGCAGAUGCAUCAAGAUCCUUUCACUUAAGAUCCAUGCAGGCGCAAGCUUUGGAUGAACUUCUGCUUCUGCGGUCGGCAUUCUUACAGGAGAACCCAAGAUUCAUUGUACCUACCUGUAUGCAUUUCAAAACUGAAUAAUUGAUAGCAACAAGUAAAUAUUUGAAGUUGCAGCCAAAUGCUGUGCCUUCUCUGCUGCAAGAGCUACAUGUCACCAUUGAAGCAAGGACCAGCUCGACUCCUGCAGUAGGAGUCCAGCCUCGUCCAGUCGUCGCCGCUCGCCAAG
rnacentral:lncRNA from 1 species